GGCGACGUACCCAAGUAGCAAGGGAACGGUCUGCAAAACCGUUAUGCAUGGGUGCAAAUCCCAUCGUCGCCUCCA
rnacentral:tRNA from 1 species